AUUGAACGCUGGCGGCAUGCUUUACACAUGCAAGUCGAACGGUAACAGGUUAAGCUGACGAGUGGCGAACGGGUGAGUAAUGCAUCGGAACGUGCCCGAUCGUGGGGGAUAACGCAGCGAAAGCUGCGCUAAUACCGCAUACGAUCUGAGGAUGAAAGCGGGGGACCGUAAGGCCUCGCGCGAUCGGAGCGGCCGAUGUCAGAUUAGGUAGUUGGUGGGGUAAAGGCUCACCAAGCCGACGAUCUGUAGCUGGUCUGAGAGGACGACCAGCCACACUGAGACUGAGACACGGCCCAGACGCCUACGGGAGGCAGCAGUGGGGAAUUUUGGACAAUGGGCGCAAGCCUGAUCCAGCAAUGCCGCGUGCAGGAAGAAGGCCUUCGGGUUGUAAACUGCUUUUGUACGGAGCGAAAAGGCUCUCUCUAAUACAGGGGGUUCAUGACGGUACCGUAAGAAUAAGCACCGGCUAACUACGUGCCAGCAGCCGCAGUAA
rnacentral:rRNA from 1 species